GUUUCAAUUCCUCAUAGGCAGGCUAUCGGCGAAGAAACAAGAACAGACUGCGCAAAGCCUGGCUGAAG
rnacentral:sRNA from 1 species